UGGGGAAUUUUGGACAAUGGGCGAAAGCCUGAUCCAGCAAUGCCGCGUGUGUGAAGAAGGCCUUCGGGUUGUAAAGCACUUUUGUCCGGAAAGAAAUCCUUGGCUCUAAUACAGUCGGGGGAUGACGGUACCGGAAGAAUAAGCACCGGCUAACUACGUGCCAGCAGCCGCGGUAAUACGUAGGGUGCAAGCGUUAAUCGGAAUUACUGGGCGUAAAGCGUGCGCAGGCGGUUUGCUAAGACCGAUGUGAAAUCCCCGGGCUCAACCUGGGAACUGCAUUGGUGACUGGCAGGCUAGAGUAUGGCAGAGGGGGGUAGAAUUCCACGUGUAGCAGUGAAAUGCGUAGAGAUGUGGAGGAAUACCGAUGGCGAAGGCAGCCCCCUGGGCCAAUACUGACGCUCAUGCACGAAAGCGUGGGGAGCAAACAGGAUUAGAUACCCUGGUAGUCCAGCGCCCUAAACGAUGUCAACUAGUUGUUGGGGAUUCAUUCCUUAGUAACGUAGCUAACGCGUGAAGUUGACCGCCUGGGGAGUACGGUCGCAAGAUUAAAACUCAAAUGAAUUGACGGGGUCAUAGCUG
rnacentral:rRNA from 1 species